CAAUGGCCUUGUGAUUCUGAUGAUGGGCCCGGUUGUUGAGUCAAGCUACAUGCGGCAUCAGAACGAGGUUGAGUCAAGCUACAUGCGGCAUCAGAACGAGGUUGAGUCAAGCUACAUGCGGCAUCAGAACGAGGUUGUUGAGUCAAGCUACAUGCGGCAUCAGAACGAGGUUGAGUCAAGCUACAUGCGGCAUCAGAACGAGGUGGGUAGUUAGGCAUGAAGUAAAUUUUCUUUCCGAUGCCU